GACGAACGCUGGCGGCGUGCUUAACACAUGCAAGUCGAACGGAAAGGCCCUGCUUUUGUGGGGUGCUCGAGUGGCGAACGGGUGAGUAACACGUGAGUAACCUGCCCUUGACUUUGGGAUAACUUCAGGAAACUGGGGCUAAUACCGGAUAGGAGCUCCUGCUGCAUGGUGGGGGUUGGAAAGUUUCGGCGGUUGGGGAUGGACUCGCGGCUUAUCAGCUUGUUGGUGGGGUAGUGGCUUACCAAGGCUUUGACGGGUAGCCGGCCUGAGAGGGUGACCGGGCACAUUGGGACUGAGAUACGGCCCAGACUCCUACGGGAGGCAGCAGGGGGGAAUAUUGCCCAAUGGGCGGAAGCCUGAUGCAGCAACGCCGCGUGCGGGAUGACGGCCUUCGGGUUGUAAACCGCUGUCGCCUGAGACGAAGCGUGAGUGACGGUAAUGGGUAAAGAAGCACCGGCUAACUACGUG
rnacentral:rRNA from 1 species